UACGGAGGAUCCAAGCGUUGUCCGGAUUUACUGGGUUUAAAGGGUGCGUAGGUGGACUUUUAAGUCGGUGGUGAAAGCCUGUAGCUUAACUAUAGAAUUGCCAUUGAAACUGAAAGUCUUGAGUACAGUUGAGGUGAGCGGAAUGUAUCAUGUAGCGGUGAAAUGCUUAGAUAUGAUACAGAACACCGAUUGCGAAGGCAGCUCACUAAACUGCAACUGACACUGAGGCACGAAAGCGUGGGGAUCAAACGGG
rnacentral:rRNA from 1 species